CCUACGGGUGGCAGCAGUGGGGAAAAUUGCACAAUGGGCGCAAGCCCGAUGCAGCCAUGCCGCGUGUAUGAAGAAGGCCUUCGGGUUGUAAAGUACUUUCAGCGGGGAGGAAGGCGAUAAGGUUAAUAACCUUGUCGAUUGACGUUACCCGCAGAAGAAGCACCGGCUAACUCCGUGCCAGCAGCCGCGGUAAUACGGAGGGUGCAAGCGUUAAUCGGAAUUACUGGGCGUAAAGCGCACGCAGGCGGUCUGUCAAGUCGGAUGUGAAAUCCCCGGGCUCAACCUGGGAACUGCAUUCGAAACUGGCAGGCUAGAGUCUUGUAGAGGGGGGUAGAAUCCCAGGUGUAGCGGUGAAAUGCGUAGAGAUCUGGAGGAAUACCGGUGGCGAAGGCGGCCUCCUGGACAAUGACUGACGCUCAGGUGCGAAAGCGUGGGGAGCAAACAGGAUUAGAUACCCCCGUAGUC
rnacentral:rRNA from 1 species